rnacentral:rRNA from 1 species
UGGGGAAUUUUGCGCAAUGGGCGAAAGCCUGACGCAGCAACGCCGCGUGGGUGAUGAAGGUCUUCGGAUCGUAAAACCCUGUCGUCAGGGACGAAGGUUUGGGCGUUAAUAGCGCUUAAGCUUGACGGUACCUGGAGAGGAAGCCCCGGCUAACUCUGUGCCAGCAGCCGCGGUAAUACAGAGGGGGCAAGCGUUAUUCGGAAUUAUUGGGCGUAAAGGGCGCGUAGGCGGCUUUUUAAGUGAGAUGUGU